rnacentral:rRNA from 1 species
CCCUUAGAUGUUCUGGGCCGCACGCGCGCUACACUGACGAAUGCAACGAGCUUAUAACCUUGGCCGAAAGGUCUGGGUAAUCUCCAAAUUUCGUCGUGAUGGGGAUAGAUUAUUGCAAUUAUUAAUCUUCAACGAGGAAUGCCUAGUAAGCGCAAGUCAUCAGCUUGCGUUGAUUACGUCCCUGCCCUUUGUACACACCGCCCGUCGCUCCUACCGAUUGAAUGGUCCGGUGAAGCGCUCGGACCGCGGCCUCUUGACGGUUCGCUGUCGAUUGGCUGUGGGAAGUUCGUUAAACCUUAUCAUUUAGAGGAGGGAGAAGUCGUAACA